GUGAGGAAUAUUGGUCAAUGGACGGAAGUCUGAACCAGCCAUGCCGCGUGCAGGAAUAAGGUCCUAUGGAUUGUAAACUGCUUUUAUUCGGGAAUAAACCUCUUUACGUGUAGGGAGCUGAAGGUACCGAAGGAAUAAGCACCGGCUAACUCCGUGCCAGCAGCCGCGGUAAUACGGAGGGUGCAAGCGUUAUCCGGAAUCAUUGGGUUUAAAGGGUCCGCAGGCGGGCUAUCAAGUGAGAGUUGAAAUCCCACAGCUUAACUGUGGAACUGCCUUUGAAAAUGAUGGUCUUGAAUUAAGUGGGCGUUGGCGGAAUAUGACAUGUAGCGGUGAAAUGCAUAGAUAUGUCAUGGACACCGAAAGCGAAGGCAGCUAACGAUACUUAUAUUGACGCUCAUGGACGAAAGCGUGGGUAGCGAACAGGAUUAGAUACCCCAGUAGUCC
rnacentral:rRNA from 1 species